UGGCCCUCCCAGCCCUCCUGGAAGUGAUGCUGGCGGAAUUUUCUUCCUUCUCUUCGGGUGGGAUGAGCUCGUCUCUCCGGCUCCCGCCUGACAGAGGUGGCACUUUGGUGGCACUUUGGUGGCACUGGGGAUGGUGGCCCUGGAAUGCCCCUUUCCUUCCCAAACCUCCCAGUCUGGGGAGGAAGGUGGGAGAGAAGAAGCCUGAGCAGCAGCCACAGCCAAACUCCUGUUCAGCCUUGCUGCCCCUCAGGGAUUCUCCCCUUGGGGUCUCCAGGAAACCUCCUCCUGCUGGAAAGCUGCCAGAACAGAGCCUGAGCAGCCUGCUGAGAUAUCCGCGAGCGCCCGCCCUGCCCGCGCAGAGCCCUGGGCAGAUAAAGAGCCCCAGACAAAGUGUUUAUCUCAGCCCCCUGCUCUCGGGGCCCUGCUCCACAUGGGCUCCCGGUGCUCCUUUCCGCCUGGUGCACAGCUGCCGAGGUGUGAUGAGCCAGGGGAAGGAGAUAAGCUGCUGGGUCAGCGCCGCGUGCCGCCGCAGCACGUGUGCUCAGGAGCUGCAGCUCAGGGACAGCGCUGGGGAAUGAAUCCUGGCCUGCUGCAGCUCCUGGGGGAAAAGAAAAAGUGGUUAUGUUUCUUACAUUUUUAAUUAAUUUAUUUUAUUUUUAAUCUUAAUUUUAAUUUUUAUUAUAUUCUUGUUAUUAUAGGUAUAAUUAUAUUAUUAAUUAUAAUUAUUAUAUUUAUUAUAUACAUUUUACAUUCACACUUUAUAUUUAUAUUUAUAUUUAUAUUUAUAUUUAUAUUUAUAUUUAUAUUUAUAUUUAUAUUUAUAUUUAUAUUUAUAUUUAUAUUUAUA